UUCAUCCUAUGGUACACUUUAUACAUUUUCAUUUAGGUUAUUGCCUCCACUCUAUUAUACACAUUAACUAAUUGAACUAACUAGUCCACAAUUAAGAAUAACAAAUUAUCUAGUAUCAUUCAAAAUUUACAAGUUUGGCAAUUCAAUAUACUUAUUCAAUAUGUACAAAUAAUUACUUGUUGCCUAAUUAUAGUCAAGCACCAUGCAAUUACACAAAACAAAACAAAGAACAAAAAUAUAUUUUUGGAAUUUUUGAAUUUUUUUUGAAAAUGGCAUAAAAAUU
rnacentral:lncRNA from 1 species